GUGACCUUUGGCCACAACUGCAAUCAGUAAAAUUAUUUGAGGUGUUUGUAUUACCUCUGCUUGAUACUUGUGCUGCCUCUGGAUGGGCAGCAAAACAUCCGAUGUGAACUUGGGAAGAAACUAAAAGGUGCUCGGGAGUAAAAGAAGACUGAAGAAUAUCUUCAAAGUACAUGGUGACCAGAGAUGCCGCUCUAUCACCAGAAAGAGCCAUCUUCUGUGCACUUGUAUUUUCCAUGUAUGAUGAAGCAUCUGCUGCCUGCUUUCUUCAUUAUCAUCAUAAAGAGGGAGAGUUUAAAAGCUAGAAGGAUGGUGAAAGAGUGUAGCAUGAACUUGAAAGGUAGAAGCCUUGCUGGCUUGCAGCCUCCACACACUGCUCCUCGGCUCUGGUCCCUGGUUCCAGAUCAAAAGGUGUCUGCCUGCCAGCUGACUGCACACCUCUUCUUCUGA
rnacentral:lncRNA from 1 species